CAGAUUCUCAACCACUGCGCCACCAGGGAAGCACUUUCCCUAUUUUUCUUCACCGUUUCCUCUCUGUCUCUGUCUCUCUCACACACACAUCACACACCCACCCCUUUCAAGGCUUACGGAAUGCCUGACGCUGGCAGGAGACAGCAGCAGAGAGAGGAGACACACACUCAGUUCUGGAAGUGGGGAUUUAUUGGGAAUUAUUGGGAAUUCUGUGAUCUGGAGGAGCCUUCCUGAGGCUUAGGGGUGUGGUGGGACUUGAGCAGGAACCAGAGGCAGAUCCAGAGUGAGUGGCACAGAGAACCUGCUUGGGUCCAGUUCCAGAUUUCCCUUCAGGCUGGCCCAGGUUCCAGGUUAAUUCUCUUUCAGGACCUUAUUGAUCCGGGGCCAGUAAUGGGAGAUCCGGGUGAAGAUGGCAGGGGGCUUUGCAUCCCACUGUCCAUAGGAGACAAUGCCCUGGGCCACCCCAGCGCAGAGAAGAGGGCCCCCUGAGUCUCCCUGUGGGACAGAGAGGGAAAGGGAGAGAGAGAGAGGAAAGGUGAGCCAGGGAACCACCCACUCCUCCCCAUGGACGAACUCUGAGUUGGUCAGACCUAUUGGGUUAGCCAAAAAGUUUGUUCAGAUUUUUCCAUAACAUCUAUGGAAAAUCCCGAAUGAACUUUUUGGCCAACCCAAUAGCAUCAGCGGCGAGAACCCUGGUUCCUCAUGAGGUUCUAUGUCUCUGUCUGAUGCUGCUUCUUGCUUUCCUUCCUGGCACCCCAUGACCCUGUGUAGCAGCCUGGGAGGGAUAGUCAGAGACUGCCUGGGGCCGCGGGAGGAUGAUCAGCCCAGGGACAGUUCCAGCUCCUCAGUCCUAUGAUCUCAAACUUUGUCACUGGCUGACACUCUGCUGACUCCAUCUCCUUCCAGGAGAUGUCCGGACCCUGAACAGUGAUUGUGGAGAAGACCCUAGUCUGAGGAUCACCUUAAGUGCAGAUUUUGUCUUCUGGGGAUUGCCCAUGCACAGCGGGAGAUUGUGGUCGAAGUAGUGAAGUGUCUGCAGGCCUGGGGCUCCGUGAGUCUCAGCUUCACCUCUUGCAGAGUGUUGGAGCCCGGCUCCUGAACAUUUGUUCUUCCCCAGCCAGCCACCCGGCCCAUUCUCCCGGGUGGGAUGAAGUUGAAUUGGGGUGGAAGGGGGAGUGUCCCCACGGCCAGGGUCAGGUUGGCUUUCCCCUUCAGCUGUGAAGGAAACGAGGGCUGUCAGAACUAGAAAUGGGCUUGAGGGCAACUGGAGACAAUCAGGGAGGAAUAGGGCGACUUGCUUCACAUUACAGCCACUUCCAAGGGGAGAGUUGAGGGGUAGAGGCAGGUUGGGGAAAUGUCAGGGCAAUGGGACCUGAAGGAGAAGCCCUGGAGAACAGGAAGUGGAGAAGGGGAAGAAGAAUUUCCACCUUCAGUAACAUGAUGUCAUGGCGAACAAUAGAGUCAUUGUAUUUUGGGUGAGGGAACUGUUGUACGACUUCAAGCUUCUGCCAUGUGUCUUCUUUCUUUUUUAUGUUAUGGGCUCCAAGGGUGACCAUUAUAGACCUUUGUGAGGGAGAAGAAGGACAAGGUAAAACAGUGACAGUGUGAUUUUCUCCUGAGAUAUGCCCAUUCUGAGAAAAGGGGACAGAGUCUCUCCCAGGGUCAAUGGUUUCUUCCCAGCCUCCUUUAUCUGGGCCACUUGUGGUAUUGGAGGGGCUCAGGUUUUACUCAGGGAAGAACUUUCCCAGGGAACAGAGACAAUUUCCAAGACCCUUGGGACUUGCUGGGGACUGAGCAGGUCAUGGAGGACCCAGGGGACAGGAUUGGCAUUUCCCAAUCAGGGCCAGCCCUUUGGAGCCAGAGGUGUCAGAGGGAAGGGGGAAGUGCUGGUCUCAGGUGGACGCUGUUCUCUGUCUCCCAUGGAAAGGAUGGGUUCAGGUCCCUGGGAACUGAAGGCCAGUGUUCCUGAAAAGGACAUAGAGGAAGUGGCCCAGAGAACUGGGUGGGACCCUGAAGAGUGAGUCCAUAUCUCAUGUGCUGGGGUCGGGGAGAGGGAGCUACUUUUGGAAGAGGGGUGCUGGGAUGGGGUCUCCUUUCCUUUGAGGAGAGCUGAGCUCACAGUGACUGAGUGUCAGGGGAGCUAUUCAGUUAUGAGACCGAUUUCCUUAAGCCCAAGUCUUGCCUCUCCUUAAAGAGACCCAGACCCAGGAGGUCCCCCUCAGGCCCCCCAGGGGGUGUCCCUGGUUGCCCCUCUGGCUGUUUACCUCCCAUUCGGAGAUAAACAGGACCCUGUUGUCUCACCUUCCUGCACAGUGAGCAGCCGUCAGGGCAAAGUCCCUUCUCAUCAGGAAAUCACCAGAAGCCACCAGCAUGUCCUGGGGAGUGACAAGUUCCAGGUGGGCCAUGUAGGGGCGGGAGUGUGGCUUGCUCUCUGUGCCCCCGAUGAUGUCCCCUGGAACAGAGAACCCCAGGGCUUGAACACAGAAAAUGCACAAGCUGGGUUAAAGUUGGGAGAGGCUUCUUUCUAAUGCAUCCUCCUCCUGUGAUCUGCCCACCCUCCCUCUCUGGUGCCUCUGGUACCUGCUCUUCUUCCUCCAGGCACAGCAGCCAGCUCGGCCUCAGAUGCCAUGCCGUCGUGUUUCACCUCGGAUUUCCCCCACUCCCAUUCUGCACCUGCUCGACUCUCCUCUGUCACCGUGCAGGACAAGCUCUCCAGGUUCCUGUCUCAACCGUCUCCAUAUCCCAUGAGUGCUCACAGAUCGGCCAAAUUACAAGGCCAGAAGGCGAAGGCAACACAGGACUUUAAGCAGUGUCACACGUUAUAUAAAGAGAAGACACCCUCUUCAUCCUGCCUGCUCUGGGCUUUCCCCCGAUCAAAGUGGGGUUCCUCGUUCCUGGGAACUACCACAGGCUGCAGAGAAUGGGUGACCACAACCCCAGUGGAAAUUCACUCUGGGCUCUUGGGGAGAGAUCUGGGGUUCUGUUUAAGAGUCAGCUACUUUCAGACUAAAAUCUUAUUUAGUCUUGAUGCUGCAGCUUCCAGAUGGAAUGACCCAACACUCACCAGCUUCAGCUCUGGAGCAGAGGAGGAAGAGCAGCGAGGGGAGAGGAGGAUGAUGCAUCUUCUCAGAGAGGCUGUCCAGGACAGGUGCCUCUUCUAUUUUCCAGUCUUGGGUUUAUAACUCCCAGCAAGUGAAGGCAGGGCAGGGCUGGUACCCACAGGAACUGCAUGGUCACCUUUUCUUCUCUCAUUCUGAGCUGGUUAUCUUUCUAAUCAGAAGUUUCCCCAGAGAUGCCCUCUGUUUUGCUGGAGACAAGGUUGAGUCCUGAACUCCUGAGUCGUGGCUUCAGGGAUGAGCUCUCGAGCCUGGUGCCUCAUCUGUGGUGGGAGAUGGAAGGAUCAUGUCUUUCCCAGUAAAACAGAAGCUGCACCCCGCUUAAAGGAUGAUUACCUGCCAUUUGAAAAAAUAUUGAUGUGGAUCUCUCUCUUCCUCCAAAUCAAAACUUCACUGGAAGAAGAGAAUGAUACAAGAUUAGAUGCGGGAAGUGGUCAAACCCUACGACUGGACUUUACAUACCUUAUCACAAGAGCAAAGGGGAUUGGAAUUAGCAUUUCUUGAGAGAGUAUGCAUAUCAUUCAUUGUCAUAAUCUUAGAUAUAUUAAUAUUUUCAUAACAACCCUGUGAAGUAGGUAGUAUUAUCUCAAUUUUAUGAAUCUGUCUAUCAAGGCUUAUGGUUCAGAAUCAGACUUUCCUCAUUUCAAAUGAAGGGCCCUUUCUGUUCUACCACCAAAGACAAAUAGAGAAAUAGAGUCCUGCUAAUGGGAAUGUAGAUAUAGAAGGAUGGUUUGCUCCUGGGGUGCUGGGGUUUCCUACUCUCACAUUAGGAAUCAAGCUUGUUUGAUUGAAAUAGAAUAUACACAGAUGUCAGUAUCUGAGGUUUGACUCUUUUUUUCCCCACCACAACCUUGGGAAUUACCAUUACUGUCACUUUACAAAUGUAGAAUUGAGAGUCAGACACAUUAACGUGAUCCAUAUCACACAACUCGUAGCUCUCAUAACUGGGUUUCAAGCACUUCUGUUGUUUUCCCCAGACUUCGAGAAGCAGCGAGUCCAGGGAAGAGUGGGAUAACUUGGUGGAGUGUCAUUUCUCUUGGAAAUUUAUAGGGUAUUUAGUUCAGAGAUGGUGAAGCACAGGGGAUGAAUACUUUCCCCAAAUCAUUCUGUCAUGCCCUUGGUCUCAUCUUGGGCUUGUGGCUGAGGUGAUCCAUUCCUUAGUAUGUACUGGCUGGGUGCUCUGUUGCCCUCAGCUCUGACCAUCUCUAGAGUACAACAUUUACACAUAUUCCCAAUGUCUGAGGAGCCUCUGCACCAAUUCUUUCACUCUCUAGAGUUGCCAGAUAAAAUAAAGAGUGCCAGUUGAAUUUAUAUUUCAGAUGAACAAGAAAUCAUUUUUCAGUACACGUAUGUCCCAGUAUUGAAUGGGACAUACUUAUAAUAAAAUAAACUGUUGUCUCUCUAAUAUUCAACUUUAA